GAUGAACGCUAGCUACAGGCUUAACACAUGCAAGUCGAGGGGCAGCAUGAACAAAGCUUGCUUUGUUUGAUGGCGACCGGCGCACGGGUGCGUAACACGUAUCCAAUCUGCCCGCGGCUCGGGGAUAGCCCAUCGAAAGAUGGAUUAAUACCCGAUGGCGUGGUUUCUCCGCAUGGAGUUUCCACCAAAGGUUUUCCGGCCGCGGAUGAGGAUGCGUAUGAUUAGGUAGUAGGCGGGGUAACGGCCCACCUAGCCUUCGAUCAUUAGGGGUUUUGAGAGGAAGGUCCCCCACACUGGAACUGAGACACGGUCCAGACUCCUACGGGAGGCAGCAGUGAGGAAUAUUGGUCAAUGGGCGCAAGCCUGAACCAGCCAAGUAGCGUGAAGGAUGACUGCCCUAUGGGUUGUAAACUUCUUUUUUACGGGAGCAAAUGUUGCUACGUGUAGCAAUUUGCGUGUACCGUACGAAUAAGCAUCGGCUAACUCCGUGCCAGCAGCCGCAGUAAAAC
rnacentral:rRNA from 1 species